rnacentral:snRNA from 1 species
AUCGCUUCUCGGCCUUUUGGCUAAGAUCAAGUGUAGUAUCAAAAACUAGGUGCGUCUUGUGGUCUGGUGCGUCUUAUAGAGUGAAAAAUAUGGUAUUUUCUUCCUGCUGAUGUUAAACAACUGCGAGUCAGCAAACCUUGCUGAUCUACUUCCAGAUUCAGUAGAUCCAGA